GGGGCCGCGAGAGGGCUCGGGCUGCGGGCUGCGGCCUGCGGGGCGGCCGGCCCACACAUCCUGCACGCCCUCUGCUGAGGGACGCCGACGGGCCGCGCGCGAGCGGAGGGUGCUCCCAGCCCGCUGCCGUGUGCUGUGGAGGGGUCGGAGGGGGUCACGCUUUGCUUCGUUGCGGGGAAUUCCUCCAAAUAAAAAAGGGUGGCAAAGCAGAGAAGGUUGGGAAACAGCCAUGAUGUAUCGGUUUCGCUGUAGCUUUGCACGAGGGGAACUGCUUGGUGGUCACAUCGUGCCCGUUGUGCUGCGGGCAUUGCAGUAUCCAGGCCGCGGGUUGUGAAAUGCCGUCAGAAAGAAAUAACAAAAGGCAUUUAGGAGACAGUGCUGUACCGCGGCACACGAAGCAGAGCGGUCAGCGCCACACGGGGCUGCUGGCUUUUAUUUGUUUGUUUGAGAAACGUGCAGGCCGGCGCUCCCGUUAAACACAUGCUUUCCUAAGCAGCCACGUGCUCUUCCUGCACGCUUAAUCCGGCCAAGAGGGGCUGAGCUCUUCCAGGGCGACAGGACGGGUCCUCUGGGCGCCGUGGAGCACACAGUACAUAGGGUGCGUGGUGCAGGGCUCGGGCUGCGACAGCAAAGCAGGAGCACGGUGACUGGAAGGAUUCCUCCCUGUUCCAUUGCAGCACUCUGCUCUUUGCACAGCCUGGCCCAGGCGGUCAUCGGUGCCGUCUGCUGCAGGCACUUGGGACACGUAAAUGGGAGCCCGAGUUCAUGAGAUCCUCUUAAAAAAUCACGACUUGACUUUUGAAAUGUGGGUUUUUAUGAGCCUUCUGGCUUUGCCUGUGAGGAUCGGCCUUACUGCACGUUUAUGUUUCCUCCGUCCGUGAUGCUGGUAGCAGGGCCUUAACAACUGGAAGCUGAGGUUUGUGGAUGAAUGAUGCCUGUAAACACAGAGGCUUUAUGGAAUGCACGAAAGACAUGAGAUGUGUAAAAUUUAAUAAAUAAGUAAAAGCCGGUCUUGGCAAUGUGGGCAGAAAGGACUGAAUACCAACUGCAUGGCUGUAACAUUUUUGUGGCCAAACUUGCAGCCCCAGUAUUUUAAUGAUGGGAGACUUUACUGCAUUUAACGGAAGCCUGGAUUUGAUUCUUGCAGAAUAAAAGGGCUUUUGAACGCUCUGUAAAUGCAGCUUCCUGACUCCAUUGGUCAUCGACACAAACACCAGAACCAAACCGCCUCCGUGAGCUGAAGCAGCAGCCCCGCUAAUUCGGGCAGCAGUGAGCUCGAUGGGAAGCAGUUGCUGGAAGAGGACAUGCAGCUUGAGCUGAAGCAGUUGGCUGCUCCGCAUCUCGUGCAGCCAGGCACCGGUACGGCCAAGGUAAAUCUUCAUACGACCGUGUUUUACUUGGAGGCUGCUCACAGUCGGUCUGAGUUCACCAAAGAAUGCAAACGGCCACAUCAGGAAACUCAGCAAAAGAUUAUUAAACCGGUGGGGCUUAAGAAGGAAAAUGAUUUUUUUCUUGGUUGUCACUGCCUGCUUUUCUGUGUCUGAAUAGGAACAAAAUUAAGGACUACUCCAAAGCACAUUCCAUAGCUUCGAGUUGUGAUGGAAAGCCUGCACUGGCAGAAGCAUCCGUACAUCUCAGCACAUCCUUGCCACUAAAGACAUUGGAAGGAUUGUUUUAAAUUGCAAUGAAGCAAAAAAGCUUUAAAAAAAGAUACAGCAAGUGAACUCUAAGCUGAAUGCAGCUGUGGACAAUGGGGUGUUGGCUACUCUUUGGGCCAUGCUCCAGCAAGUCAGAAGUUUCACAAGGUUGAUCCUAGAACAGGGCAAUAUAAGGGGUGCGAAGGAAGCAAUACUGCAACAGAAAUACUCCUGAGUGCUCUGUGAGGAAGCAUUCUCUCAGCACAACCCGGUCCCUGUGCCUCCAGCCCUGCCCAGCUAAGGCAGAGAACCCGGAGUGGUCAGAACAGCUCUGCCAUGUGCUGCCCUGCUCAGCUGCCCUCUGCGCCAAGGAUGAGUGCACAGCAGCUCUUGAUAAAAAAAGAUCACUCCAGCAUAUCUCAGAGGUGAAUCUUCUAAAGUUUAAGCACCGACUUGUAUCUUCAGUUAACAAAAGCAGUGUUUACACUUUCAAUUUAAUAGACUUGAUACAGAUAAGCCUUAUAUCACUACAGUUGUGUACUGCACUGGCUUACUGUAUUACACAGCAGUUCUGAAACAGCAAGAGGGCUUCUGCUGUGAUCCCACGUUGCUGUUUGAUAGCUGCAAACCUCACUGAAGAGUCUGUGAAAUUUCCAGCUGCUCAUCUUACUGCAUCCUGGUUAGCUCAAGCAAGGGCUGGCCAUGUAACGUGAGCAAACUCUGCAUUGGAUCUCCAGUGACCUGGUUUAAAAACAAACAUUGAAAACAAAACAAACACUUUUCAGAGUGGGCUUCUCAUAGCUGCUGUAGAUCUCAGUGUGUGCUCUGUGUCCUGCACAAUUCAUUUUAGGGAACUUCAGGCAGAGCUGUGGGUCUGGGUGGGGAUCUCUGAUAUUUCCAUCACUGCAGGGUGUUUUCCAGUUCCUUCUCUAUGAUCACGACCCAAUUAUACAAAUACAGUCAGCUUUUAAUGUACAAAAACCACUCCUACUUGCACAUUUACUCAACUAAAUUGUAAAUAUCCAUACUUUCAUAGUUAUAACACUGACAAGGAUUUCACCAACUGUCCUUCCCUCCGAAAUCCUUUUCCAGAUUGCAGGGCAGAAAAGAUUUCUGUUCCCAGUCCACUUGGCAUGCAAGUCAGAAUAGCCCGGGCCUCUUCUGCCAGUGGCUGAAGUGAAGACGCCCAACACUGUGCUGAGGGAUGACAAGCCACAGCCCAGGAGCUCAGCUGUGCCACUGAUGACUGCCCUCAAACAGGUGGGAGCAGCCGAGAUCCAGACAUUUCUUGCUGCUCACAGAGGGAAUGAGUUCCCACACCUGGUGCUUCUCAGAUCUCGCUCAGCAGGACACAGACAGGGCUGCUUCCCUGCCCUGCAGUGACACACGGAGGGCAGGAUCUGGAAGCAGUGCUGAUGCACAGCAUCCUACUAGUACAUUCUGUCUUUUGCUUGGCAGCCAAACGUGGGACUUCCUUCUGAUGCCAUGUUGCCUUUCACUUACAUCGGAUUGUGAGGGGUUGUUUCAUCGGCAACAAAAGAGUGAAAUGGAAUAAGGAAUAAACAAGAAGCAAGACAAAGCUGUCACUGCAUUUGUUACCAGCUGAAAGAAAAAGAGGCAAAAACCUCCUGCAGCAGAGACUUGAUAAUCACUUUCCCAAACGAUACUGUUAUUGUAAUUGCCAAACUCUUUGUAAAGCAGCAUAUAGCUACAGUCAUUGCAGCGCUGGAAUUGUCCACGAGGACGAACAUGUAGCACAGAAAAGAAAUAAGGAUGGUACCAUCAGUGAAAAUCUUCAUUAUCGGGAGAGGGUGGAGAAGCUGAGAUCAUCUUCAAAGAGAAAGGAAGGUGCUUCAGGGGCAUUUCUACAUAUUUUCAGGUCAGCGAAAGGGAAUUGUGUUUAUACAUUUUUCUUAGCCUGAAAGAAUUUUAAACAACUAGGAGAAAAUAGGAUGAAAUGGGGAGUUCAAAUGGAAAUCUGCAAGGAUAUCAGUCUUUCCCAGUGUACCACCAAGACAUUGACGCAAUGUCAUCUGGAGCCAGUCUGUUAUAACUGCGGCUUUUGAAACAUAAUGAACUUUGCCAUUUCAAAUUAGUACUGACAAACAAAAUAGCUGACUUAUCUCUACUCAGAAAUUACUCCAAGGAAAGAAAAUGCAGGCAAUUUAGUAGGAGACUUGGUGCUUACAGAAAGUAUUUGUGAUGACAAAUUUGUUAGUGAGACAUCUCUCUGUUUUCUGAGUUGAAGUCACAAGUGAAAGGGGAAAUACACAGAGUAGGGGCCACUCCAGUCUGGGAACCUUUGUGUCACAGAGACAGGCGUGGUUUGAUCAGGGAAUUUCAAGAGAUACAGCAGAAGAGCAGUACUUGGUAUCCCCUCUGCUUCAGAGACAUCAGUUCAUACUGUGUCCUUGCGUUGUUUUCAAAGCCAGGCAGACAGCAUCCUGACCACACGGAGGGAUGUAGAAGUCUUCAGGAACAACCUCUUAUUCCUUUCAGUCCCUGGAGAAGUUACAGAAAAAGCCACAUCUCACUGCAAAGGAGCUAAAUCUCUUAAUGGAAAAGCCUUCUGUAUAAUGAGUACCUUCAAAACAAAUGUAAAUUCUCACACACUGCUAAUGUCAAAUGAGAAAUUCCUGUGCAGGGCUGAGCCCCAGGUGAGUAACCAACCAUAUUAGCUCGAAGCAUCAGUUGCUGGCAUUUGAAAGGUAUCGGGUGUGUCUGGCCCAUUAUUAAUGACUGUAAACACUUGAACUUCAAACUGAUAAAAGUUUAAGUGUAUAGAUCGUUGCUAA